rnacentral:rRNA from 1 species
UCGGAAUAAUGCUGGGGUACGAUGCGGAGCGAAAUUUAGUAGCGAAGUAGCUGAUUUCACACUGUCGAGAAAAGUCUCUAUCGAGGUUAAAGGUGCCUGUACCGCAAACCGACACAGGUGGGUGAGGAGAGUAUCCUAAGGCCAGCGAGAGAACUGUUGUUAAGGAACUCGGCAAAAUGACCCCGUAACUUAGGGAGAAGGGGUGCCUUCGAAAGAAGGCCGCAGAGAAUAGGCCCAAGCGACUGUUUACCAAAAACAUAGGUUUCCGCUAAGUCGCAAGACGAUGUAUAGGGGCUGACGCCCGCCCGGUGCUGGAAGGUUAAGGGGAUCUGUUAGAGCAAUCGAAGCAGUGAACUUAAGCCCCAGUAAACGGCGGCCGUAACGAUAACGGUCCUAAGGUAGCGAAAUUCCUUGUCGGGUAAGUUCCGACCCGCACGAAAGGCGUAACGAUUUGGGCACUGUCUCAACAACAGACUCGGUGAAAUUGUAAUACCGGUGAAGAUGCCGGUUACCUGCGACAGGACGGAAAGACCCCAUGGAGCUUUACUGUAGCUUGACAUUGAGUCUCGGUGCUACAUGUACAGGAUAGGUGGGAGACUAUGAAGCAUGGACGUCAGUCUGUGUGGAGUCAUCCUUGGGAUACCACCUUGUAGUACUGGGAUUCUAACCAGAGGCCAUGAAUCUGGUCUUGGGACACUGUCAGGUGGACAGUUUGACUGGGGCGGUCGCCUCCCAAAAAGUAACGGAGGCGCUCAAAGGUUCUCUCAGUACGGUCGGAAAUCGUACGAAGAGUGUAAAGGCAAAAGAGAGCUUGAUUGCAAGACAUACAGGUCGAGCAAGGACGAAAGUCGGACUUAGUGAUCCGGUGGUUCCGCAUGGAAGGGCCAUCGCUCAACGGAUAAAAGCUACCCUGGGGAUAACAGGCUGAUCUCCCCCAAGAGUCCACAUCGACGGGGAGGUUUGGCACCUCGAUGUCGGCUCAUCACAUCCUGGGGCUGUAGUAGGUCCCAAGGGUUGGGCUGUUCGCCCAUUAAAGUGGUACGCGAGCUGGGUUCAGAACGUCGUGAGACAGUUCGGUCCCUAUCCGUCGCAGGCGUAGGAAAUUUGAGGAGACCUGUCCUUAGUACGAGAGGACCGGGAUGGACGUACCGCUGGUGUACCAGUUGUUCUGCCAAGGGCAUGGCUGGGUAGCUAAGUACGGAAAGGAUAAGCGCUGAAAGCAUCUAAGCGCGAAGCCCACUUCAAGAUAAGAUUUCCCACCGCAAGGUUAAGAUCCCAGGAAGACUACCUGGUUGAUAGGUCAGAGGUGUAAGUGCAGUAAUGUAUUUAGCUUACUGAUACUAAUAGAUCGAGGACUUGACCA